GGUGGCUGAAGCUCAUCUCCUAUGUAAACACCUAAAUGCCAAGUCUGGACUUCAAAAACAGAUUCUGAAAGUUUAACCAGCAUUAUGGACAAAAAGUAUACACUUCGAACAGACACAAAAACAUAUAGGUCCAUGCCAAGCUAUGAAAGAUUUAUGCUGAGGAUGAAAGGGAAUUGCAGAAGAAU